rnacentral:rRNA from 1 species
CAUAAAGUAUGUCGUAGUCCGGAUUGGAGUCUGCAACUCGACUCCAUGAAGUCGGAAUCGCUAGUAAUCGUGGAUCAGAAUGCCACGGUGAAUACGUUCCCGGGCCUUGUACACACCGCCCGUCACACCAUGGGAGUGGGUUGCAAAAGAAGUAGGUAGCUUAACCUUCGGGAGGGCGCUUACCACUUUGUGAUUCAUGACUGGGGUGAAGUCGUAACAAGGUAACCGUAGGGGAACCUGCGGUUGGA